rnacentral:rRNA from 1 species
UACGUAGGUGGCAAGCGUUGUCCGGAAUUAUUGGGCGUAAAGCGCGCGCAGGCGGUCCUUUAAGUCAGAUGUGAAAGCCCACGGCUCAACCGUGGAGGGUCAUUGGAAACUGGAGGACUUGAGUACAGAAGAGGAAAGCGGAAUUCCACGUGUAGCGGUGAAAUGCGUAGAGAUGUGGAGGAACACCAGUGGCGAAGGCGGCUUUCUGGUCUGUAACUGACGCUGAGGCGCGAAAGCGUGGGGAGCAAACAGG